AAGAAACCAACUGGGAUUGCCUUAGUAACGGCGAGUGAAGCGGCAAUAGCUCAAAUUUGAAAGCUGGCCCCUUUGGGGUCCGCGUUGUAAUUUGUAGAGGAUGAUUCGGCGAGGGCUCCCGUCUAAGUCCCCUGGAACGGGGCGUCAUAGAGGGUGAGAAUCCCGUAUGUGAUGGGUUGCCUUAGCCAUGUGAAUCUCCUUCGACGAGUCGAGUUGUUUGGGAAUGCAGCUCUAAAUGGGAGGUAAAUUUCUUCUAAAGCUAAAUACCGGCCAGAGACCGAUAGCGCACAAGUAGAGUGAUCGAAAGAUGAAAAGCACUUUGGAAAGAGAGUUAAAAAGUACGUGAAAUUGUUGAAAGGGAAGCGCUUGCAGCCAGACUUGUCCGCAGUUGCUCAGCCGGUCUCCUGACCGGCGUACUCUUCUGCGGCCAGGCCAGCAUCAGUUCGGGCGGUCGGAUAAAGACCCCAGGAAUGUAGCUCCUCUCGGGGAGUGUUAUAGCCUGGGGUGGAAUGCGGCCAGCCUGGACUGAGGAUCUCGCUUCGGCUAGGAUGCUGGCGUAAUGGCUGUAAGCGGCCCGUCUUGAAACACGGACCAAGGAGUCUAACAUCUAUGCGAGUGUUUGGGUGUCAAACCCAUACGCGUAAUGAAAGUGAACGGAGGUGGGAACCCUCACGGGUGCACCAUCGACCGAUCCUGAUGUCUUCGGAUGGAUUUGAGUAAGAGCAUAGCUGUUGGGACCCGAAAGAUGGUGAACUAUGCCUGAAUAGGGUGAAGCCAGAGGAAACUCUGGUGGA
rnacentral:rRNA from 1 species